UGUUGAUUACCUGGCUGUUCUAAUAGCAAAGUGGUCCUCCCUCGUAAGAAGUACCCAAAAGUGACAACAAAAUAAUGAUCGUUUGUUAAACAACUUUUUUAUUCGGGUGUCCAAAAUUAUGGGACAAAUCAUCAAAGUUGGUCAGUCGAUUUCGUGUGACUGUGCAAAAAAUGGUUUUGUUGCAAUUAUUAGAUUUUGUGGUUACACACCACCGA